rnacentral:rRNA from 1 species
GUCGAGGGGCAGCAUGGUGUAGCAAUACACUGAUGGCGACCGGCAAACGGGUGCGGAACACGUACAGAACCUUCCUUCAAGCGGGGAAUAGCCCAGAGAAAUUUGGAUUAAUACCCCAUAGCAUAAUGGAGUGGCAUCACUUUGUUAUUAAAGAUUUAUCACUUGAAGAUGGCUGUGCGGCUGAUUAGGUAGUUGGCGGGGUAACGGCCCACCAAGCCUGCGAUCAGUAACUGGUGUGAGAGCACGACCAGUCACACGGGCACUGAGACACGGGCCCGACUCCUACGGGAGGCAGCAGUAAGGAAUAUUGGUCAAUGGACGAAAGUCUGAACCAGCCAUGCCGCGUGGAGGAUGAAGGUCCUCUGGAUUGUAAACUUCUUUUAUCUGGGACGAAAAAAGGUCUUUCUAGAUCGUCUGACGGUACCAGAUGAAUAAGCACCGGCUAACUCCGUGCCAGCAGCCGCGGUAAUACGGAGGGUGCAAGCGUUAUCCGGAUUCACUGGGUUUAAAGGGUGCGUAGGUGGGUUGGUAAGUCAGUGGUGAAAUCUUCGAGCUUAACUCGGAAACUGCCAUUGAUACUAUCAGUCUUGAAUAUUGUGGAGGUUAGCGGAAUAUGUCAUGUAGCGGUGAAAUGCUUAGAUAUGACAUAGAACACCAAUUGCGAAGGCAGCUGGCUACACAUAUAUUGACACUGAGGCACGAAAGCGUGGGGAUCAAACAGGAUUAGAUACCCUGGUAGUCCACGCCCUAAACU